UUGCAGAUGUGGCCUGAUCUUAUAAAAAAGGCCAAAGAUGGAGGCUUAGAUGUCAUACAAACUUAUGUAUUUUGGAAUGGGCAUGAACCAUCUCCUGGAAAGUACAACUUUGAAGGGAGGUAUGAUUUGGUGAAAUUCAUGAAACUGAUA